rnacentral:rRNA from 1 species
UAGUCCGGGGGGACUGGUAAAAUGGGAUAAUCCCCGGCAGACCACCGAUGGCGAAGGCAUCUGACCAGAACGGAUCUGACGGUGAGGGACGAAAGCCAGGGGGGCGAACCGGAUUAGAUACCCGAGUAGUCCUGGCUGUAAACGCUGUGUGCUAGGUGUUGCGCCUACUAUUGGUAUGCGCAGUGUCGAAACGAAGGUAUUAAGCACACCGCCUGGGAAGUACGGCCGCAAGACUGAAACUUUAAGGAAU